rnacentral:tRNA from 1 species
GCCGCUGUAGCUCAGAUGGUCAGAGCAGCUGAUUUGUAAUCAGCAGGCCGUGGGUUCGAAUCCCUCCGGCGGCUCCA